AGUCAACAUGCCCAGGGGACGUGGAUAACCUCGGGAAACUGAGGAUAAACCGCGAUAGGUCAUCACUUCUGGAAUGGGUAAUGACUUAAAUCUAUAUGGCCCCUGGAUUGGACUGCGGCCGAUCAGGCUGUUGGUGAGGUAAUGGCCCACCAAACCUGUAACCGGUACGGGCUCUGAGAGGAGGAGCCCGGAGAUGGGCACUGAGACAAGGGCCCAGGCCCUAUGGGGCGCAGCAGGCGCGAAACCUCUGCAAUAGGCGAAAGCUUGACAGGGUUACUCUGAGUGAUCUCCGUUAAGGAGAUCUUUUGGCACCUCUAAAAAUGGUGCAGAAUAAGGGGUGGGCAAGUCUGGUGUCAGCCGCCGCGGUAAUACCAGCACCCCGAGUGGUCGGGACGUUUAUUGGGCCUAAAGCAUCCGUAGCCGGUUCUACAAGUCUUCCGUUAAAUCCACCUGCUUAACAGAUGGGCUGCGGAAGAUACUAUAGAGCUAGGAGGCGGGAGAGGCAAGCGGUACUCGAUGGGUAGGGGUAAAAUCCGUUGAUCCAUUGAAGACCACCAGUGGCGAAGGCGGCUUGCCAGAACGCGCUCGACGGUGAGGGAUGAAAGCUGGGGGAGCAAACCGGAUUAGAUACCCGGGUAGUCCCAGCUGUAAACGAUGCAGACUCGGUGAUGAGUUGGCUUAUUGCUAACUCAGUGCCGCAGGGAAGCCGUUAAGUUUGCCGCCUGGGGAGUACGGUCGCAAGACUGAAACUUAA
rnacentral:rRNA from 1 species